GGAUAGCCAGACUUCUUUCCUCUCCACAUUCUGCUUCUGACUCUGCAGACCUUGCCACCUUGCCUCAGCUGCCUUCUCAUCCUGUAACUCACCUUGGCUUCCAGCAUUCCCCUAUUGCCACCAUCCAGCCAAUGAUGCACAAAAAUCUCUGCUCUGUUUACCGUGCUACACAUUAGCACAGAGAGGCCCAGUUGUACUGAAAGGAGCUUGAGAAAGAGACCUGUGUCAACACAUCCCUUCACCACACAAUCCAUGGAAAACAUGAUUGGGGAAAACAAGAUGGAACUUGAUUUGCACUGUUCCCCUCAAGGAAGAUGUCUUUUGGCAAACCAAGCCAAAGAUUGUACUCAUUCUCUGGUUGG